GAAUAGGGCGGUACCUUGACGGUACCUAACCAGAAAGCCACGGCUAACUACGUGCCAGCAGCCGCGGUAAUACGUAGGUGGCAAGCGUUGUCCGGAAUUAUUGGGCGUAAAGCGCGCGCAGGCGGUUUCUUAAGUCUGAUGUGAAAGCCCCCGGCUCAACCGGGGAGGGUCAUUGGAAACUGGGGAACUUGAGUGCAGAAGAGGAGAGUGGAAUUCCACGUGUAGCGGUGAAAUGCGUAGAGAUGUGGAGGAACACCAGUGGCGAAGGCGACUCUCUGGUCUGUAACUGACGCUGAGGCGCGAAAGCGUGGGGAGCGAACAGGAUUAGAUACCCUGGUAGUCCACGCCGUAAACGAUGAGUGCUAAGUGUUAGAGGGUUUCCGCCCUUUAGUGCUGCAGCAAACGCAUUAAGCACUCCGCCUGGGGAGUACGGUCGCAAGACUGAAACUCAAAGGAAUUGACGGGGGCCCGCACAAGCGGUGGAGCAUGUGGUUUAAUUCGAAGCAACGCGAAGAACCUUACCAGGUCUUGACAUCCUCUGACAACCCUAGAGAUAGGGCUUCCCCUUCGGGGGCAGAGUGACAGGUGGUGCAUGGUUGUCGUCAGCUCGUGUCGUGAGAUGUUGGGUUAAGUCCCGCAACGAGCGCAACCCUUGAUCUUAGUUGCCAGCAUUCAGUUGGGCACUCUAAGGUGACUGCCGGUGACAAACCGGAGGAAGGUGGGGAUGACGUCAAAUCAUCAUGCCCCUUAUGACCUGGGCUAC
rnacentral:rRNA from 1 species